CCGCACCACACCAUACCUGUCACAAGCCAGGUUUAAGCUUGACAAAGGGUACCGCAUUAGGACCCGAAACGUUGCACUAGCCGUAAAUGUAAUGUGUGUACUACUGCACGAAUAAAACUUCAAUAGCAACUUAAUUUGGUGUGCUGUCUCCGCCAUCUUUUGUG